rnacentral:rRNA from 1 species
AGCAGUCGCCGCGGUAAUACGUAGGUGGCAAGCGUUGUCCGGAAUUAUUGGGCGUAAAGGGCUCGCAGGCGGUUUCUUAAGUCUGAUGUGAAAGCCCCCGGCUCAACCGGGGAGGGUCAUUGGAAACUGGGAAACUUGAAUGCAGAAGAGGAGAGUGGAAUUCCACGUGUAGCGGUGAAAUGCGUAGAGAUGUGGAGGAACACCAGUGGCGAAGGCGACUCUCUGGUCUGUAACUGACGCUGAGGAGCGAAAGCGUGGGGAGCGAACAGGAUUAGAUACCCGAGUAGUCCCUGUCUCUUAUAC